rnacentral:rRNA from 1 species
CCCUUAGAUGUCCGGGGCCGCACGCGCGCUACACUGAAGGAAUCAGCGUGGCUUUCUCCCUGACCCGAAAGGGUUGGGAAACCCGUUGAAUCUCCUUCGUGAUAGGGAUUGGGGCUUGAAAUUGUUCCCCAUGAACGAGGAAUUCCCAGUAAGCGCGAGUCAUAAGCUCGCGUUGAUUACGUCCCCGCCCUUUGUACACACCGCCCGUCGCUACUACCGAUUGAACGGUUUAGUGAGGGCCUCGGAUUGGUCUCGGCCCGCUCUUUACCGGGCGGCGCCGUUGGUCGAGAAGACGCUCGAACUUGAUCGUUUAGAGGAAGUAAAAGUCGUAACA